GUCCACGCCGUAAACGAUGGGCACUAGGUGCUUGGGGGAGCGACCCCCCGAGUGCCGGCGCUAACGCAUUAAGUGCCCCGCCUGGGGAGUACGGCCGCAAGGCUGAAACUCAAAGGAAUUGACGGGGGCCCGCACAAGCGGUGGAGCAUGUGGUUUAAUUCGACGCAACGCGAAGAACCUUACCUGGGCUUGACAUGUACGGGAAAGCCUCUGGAAACAGGGGGCCCCUCUUCGGAGCUCGUGCACAGGUGCUGCAUGGCUGUCGU
rnacentral:rRNA from 1 species